AUAGGAAUCACCAGAUGAUCUCAUUAAAAUGUAGCUUCGGAUUCAGCAUCUCUCCCAAGGGUCCUAGGUUCUACAUUUCUACUGAGCUCCUAGAUUAUACCCAC
rnacentral:pre_miRNA from 1 species